rnacentral:lncRNA from 1 species
GUGUUUUCAAAAUGCAACUGCCCACUUAUACACCUGAACUGCCUUCCAUUGCCCUUAGAGACCAAAAGGCCUAGGUCUUGGCCACAGGGCUCCUCUUCCUAUGUGGCAGAUUCUGUGUUCUCUCCCACCACAGGGCUUUGGCACGUGUGUUUCUCUCCACAUCCUUCCUCACCAGUGAACUCUUAGGAGAUCUGCUCAACCAUCACAAGGAAGUCUCCUCUGACCUUCCUGAUCAGUUCCUGGUUGUCUACUGCCUCAUAUCCCUCUUGUUUCUCUGAGUCUUCCAUGAAUAUAAAACCCCGGGGUCUGGAUGAUUUGGGUGAGUAUUUCAUUUCUGGUCCACACAUCUUGAGAUAGCACGUGUAAAUGGGCCUCCAUUUUACAAAGAUGACUGAGCACUGUGAAGGGAUUUGUGGUCCCUGUAGAAAAGGUAUUAUAAAGCAGCACAAGAAAAAUGGAAAAUACAAAAAGCAAAAGAAAAUUCCCUAAACAGCACAACAAAAAGAUUUUCUGUAGCCGUGGAGAGCCCUUCAGCACCCCAAAUCCCACCUGAAUGGCAGUGUUCACACGGCUUAUGAAUAGCAAGCACAGAGCUGGCCAUAGAUAAAACGAUGGCGCAGGGCUCAGAUCUGUCUUCUGCUCCGUUAGCUUCCCAGGUCGGCGCUGGUUUUUCCAGCAGCGUCGGGGCACUUCUUCCACCUCAGGCGCUCAGCGUCCAGUGCUCUGGUUAUUCUUGUUUAGAUAGCAAUGCCUGCUCUCUGCACAGCCCGGACCCUCAAACACACCCAGGAGCACAGAGCCCAGAGGGGCUCGUCAGAAGAUACGGUAGAGCAUGCAGAAUCUCAACAGAUUCUAUAAAGUCACCCAAUUCAGAUGCAUACUUUGCUCACUUAACCUCUAAUCUCAAACACACCCUUUCAGCUCACACAGAGCUAAAAAAAAGGAUGGCUGGAGGUUAGGAAUGUGGGACUGAGGCUGUGAAAAGGGAAGCAGAGAUGCAAUGUUUAAUUUGUGUAUUCUUACUUUCUCCCCUUUUAUUCUUUUUCUUUUGUUUCUUCUUUCCCUUCCUUCCUCCUUCCCUCCCUCUCUCUCUCUUUCUUUCCUUUCUUUCUUUUUCUUUCUUUUUUUCUUUCUUUUUGAUGGGGUCUCACUCCUGUUGCCCAGGCUGGAGUGUAGUGGCAUGAUCAAAACUCACUACAGUUUAUAACUCCUGGACUUUCUGGGACCACAUGUGAGCGCCACCAUGCCCAGCUAAAUUUUUAAAUUACUUUUUGUAGACAUGGGGUCUGACUAUGUUGUUCAGACUGCUCUCAAACUCCUGGGCUCAAGCGAUCUUCCCAUCUCAGCCUCCCAAAGUGCAGGGAUUACAGGCGUGAGACACCGUGCCAGCCCUCCUUUUUUUCAAAUUAGUCUCAAAAAGAUUUUAUUAGUCUAAUUGAAGAACGAACAUUUGGCUUGAUCAUCUUUACUUGAUCUUCGUUUUCUAUUUUAUUAUUUUCUCCUUUCAUAUUUUUGUGACUAUUAUAAUUUGGAUGUUUGUCCCCUCCAAAUCUCAUGUUGAAAUGUGACCUCCAGCAUUAGAGGUGGGCCCAGUGGGAGGUGUUUGGGUCAUGGGGGCGGAUCCCUUAUGAAUGCUUGGUACCAUCCUUGUGGUAAUGAGUGGCUUCUCACUCUAUGAGUUCACGCGAGAUCUGGUUAUUUAAAAGAGCCUGGCACCCCAUCCCUCUCUCUCUUGCUCCCCUUUCUCCAUGUGACAUGUCUGCUCCCCCUUUACCUUCUGCCAUGAUUGGAAGCUUCCUGAGGCCUCACCAGAAGCAGAUGCUGGCACCAUGCUUCCUGUACAGUCUGCAGAACCAUGAGCCAAAGUAAAUCUCUUUUCUUUAUAAAUUAUUCUGCCUCAGGUAUUCCUUUACAGCAAUGCAAAACAGACUCAUGCAAUCACUUUAUUUUUCCUAAUGUUCUAAAUUGGAUGCUUAGCUUAUUAAUUCUGUUUUAAAAUUUUCUAAUAUGGGCAUUUAAAGAUAUACAUUUCCCUCUAUGUACUAUUUUGCU